CGACCUUUGCCACACUCUGGCCCUUACCGUCCUUUCCCAUCUGGGAUCGGUGAUUUUCCUCCACGGUAUCGGCUUAUUUUGGUGCAAAGAAGAUCAACUUCAGCCCAUUACUCACCGCGGUAUCUUCAGGAGGGGGACUACGUUCUUCUCCCGUGGAUACAGUGGUCCAUCUUUCGGGCCAACAU
rnacentral:snoRNA from 1 species